CCAAAGGCUCUUUUCAGAACCACUCCAAGUUUCUGAAACCUGCUGU
rfam:Otolemur garnettii contig059045, whole genome shotgun sequence.